rnacentral:lncRNA from 1 species
UUUACAUGUUGUGAACUGCGUUUGAUCGUUGCCCACAGCUCUUUAGCGGCACUGAAAACAGUCGGACCAGGAGAUCUUCCGUAUUCUCUCUGUGUAGAAGAAUGUCUUUGACUUCACACU